UUUCUCACUUCGGCAGCACAUAAACUAAAAUUGCAAUGAUACAGAGAAGAUUAGCAUGGCCCCUGAGCAAGGAUGACAGACAAAUUUGUGAAGCAUUCCAUAUCUUA
rnacentral:snRNA from 1 species